AACGAGACGUGUGGAGAGGGAGACGGACGCACCGCCCUUCACCUGGCGUGCCGAAGGGCAACGUGGUCAUCAAACAGCUCCUCAUCUGGUACGGGGUGGAUCUGAUGGCGAGGGACGCCCACGGUAACAGCGCGCUGGCGUACGCACGGCAGGCCAGCAGCCAGGAGUGUGUUGACACGUUGCUGCAGUACGGCUGUCCCGAUGAACGCUACCCACUUAUUGCCACGCCCAACCUGUCCCGACGCAACACCAACCGCAACAACAGCUGCAGCAGCACGGGCAGCACCGCACUCAUAUAAACACUACCGCCCCCUUCAGGAGGCCUCCGGGUACUGCGGCUCGCAGGAUAUUAACAGGCUAAACACACAUUGUGACAUUGUAUGCAUAUUACACACUCAAACUCCUGACUGAAAAAACUCCUGACUGACAUUUUUGGAARUGAGGGGCUUGGAGAGAGUCUGAAUUGGGAGAAAUKACUGAACUCUUUUGGGAACCACUACUUCUGCACUCCUUGUCUUAGAGCCGUCRUUGACCUCUUACCCUCUCCACUCUGCCACUAAUCUCACACAGAAGACACUAGCACUCCUGUUGUAGUUGCCGUUGAUGAAGCCCUCUGUCCUUUUGGCUCUCUGCCCCACAUCAUGAUGACCCCCCCCUGCGCUUCGGUCCAAUUGUCAAUUUCCUCACAAGGCCCUCCCCUGUAAAAGCAUGGGGGCAGGAGGUGGCUUGGCGUUACUUCCGGGUGGAGUCAGGUCACCGGCUUCCCUCACUGCUAUCUACCUGGCUGCAUGUAGCCCUAAGCAUGAUGGGACAUGGGGAGGAGGUGGCCAAAAUCACGUGGAAAGCAGCGACACCCCUCUAUAUAUACCCUCUAUUGACUCCCAUCUGCAAUCUUCUCCCAGCUUCAACCCAGGCCACACACACACUAUAUCACUGCUAUAUCAGCUGUAUAGAAACAGAGGCCUGCAGGUUUGGAAAGACUUUGGAUGUUUGAAGAGGGCCUCUGUAGCAUGUUGGGGAAGGGGGGGUUGCUUUUCGCUUAAGUUAUGGGAGCUCUACCUUAUAACAUGAGAACUACGAAGAACUACGAAGAACUACGAAGAACUACAAAGAACUACAAAGAACACUGAUCAACUGAACAGAACUCCUCUUCUGCUCUGCUUCUUUAAAAAAAAAAAUGAAAAAAUUCCUAAAUAUCUGAUAUUCUUUCUAAAUAAAACAGAAAGUGUGAUAGCAUGUCAGACACUUUCUCUUUUGAAUUAAAAAAAGGUUGUUCAUCACGUCCAAA